GAUCGAAAGCGUGGGGAGCAAAAGGGAUUAGAUACCCCUGUAGUCCACGCCGUAAACGAUGGAUACUCGGUGUAGGUAGUUUUAAUCGCUAUCUGUGCCCUAGCAAACGCGUUAAGUAUCCCGCCUGAGUAGUACGACCGCAAGGUUAAAACUCAAAGGAAUAGACGGGGAUCCACACAAGCGGUGGAGCAUGUGGUUUAAUUCGACAAUAAGCGAGGAACCUUACCUGGACUUGACAUCCUGAGAAGCUUUCAGAAAUGAGAGUGUGCCUUUUGGAACUCAGUGACAGGUGCUGCAUGGUUGUCGUCAGCUCGUGCCUUGAGGUGUUCGGUUAAGUCCGUUAACGAGCGCAACCCUCGCCAGAUGUUGUAUUUUUCAUCUGGGACUGCCGGUUUUACACCGGAGGAAGGUGAGGAUGACGUCAAAUCAGCAUGGCCCUUAUGUCCAGGGCGACACGCGUGCUACAAUGGCCGGUACAAAGGGUAGCUAAGUUGUAAAGCGGAGCCAAUCCCAUAAAGCUGGUCACAGUUCGGAUUGAGGGCUGCAACCCGCCCUCAUGAAGCUGGAAUCGCUAGUAACCGUAAAUCAGCCAUAUUACGGUGAAUAUGUUCCUGGAUCUUGUACUCACCGCCCGUCAAGCCACGAAAGG
rnacentral:rRNA from 1 species